rnacentral:lncRNA from 1 species
UCAAAUAGAAAUAAUUAUUUGUGUCAGAGGUCUACGAAACCUCGUUUGGUCUAAACCGAUCCGUUUAUAAACCGGGCGAUAAUUUUUAGUUUGGUCUCAAACCGGUUUGAUCUAAACCAGUUUGGAUUAAGAACGGGUUUUAGAGUUGAAAACCUCUACUCGUUCGACAGUGACACCACACACACAACGCUGCCAGUAACCACUGAACCACCACGGCCAAAAUCGGAAUCUUCCAUGAAAACCCUAAUCGCCGCUGGAAACCACCGUCACUUUCGUAUCAUCAUCCAAAACGUUACAAAUCGAAGCUAAGUGUCCGACGGCUGCGAAAAAGGAGUGGGAAAAAUCGUAAAACUUUUGAUAAGAGAAAAUGAAGAUGGAUUUGCAGAAGGUGAGAAAAGUCAAAGAAAGAAACAAAUAAGAGAAAAACCAUAUGACAAUUGGGGUCUCUUUCGUAAUUUCCAUUAUUGUUAGGCAGGUGGGUGUGGGACGAGCUGAUCUAGUGGGCCACCAUAGAGAGAGAGAGAGAGAGAGAGAUAUUUAAUUGUUUUUGUUUUAAUGUGGGCCAACAUUUUCAGAUUUGGGACUAUCCUCCACACCCUUGGGUAGUCCCUAAGGGGAUGGUCCUCCACCCCAUGUGACGUGGCGUCUACGUGGCGGAUGGUUCCCAAAGGGACUACCCAAACCACACCCCAUGGUCUAAGAAGGCAUUAUAUAUUGACAAGUGUUCAAGAACUUAAAACCUAAACCCACUACACCACCACCACACCCCACCCCUCCACCACCCAAAAACCUAAACCCCCACCCUCC